AGUGAACGCUGGCGGUAGGCCUAACACAUGCAAGUCGAACGGCAGCACAGUAAGAGCUUGCUCUUACGGGUGGCGAGUGGAGGACGGGUGAGGAAUACAUCGGAAUCUACUUUUUCGUGGGGGAUAACGUAGGGAAACUUCCGCUAAUACCGCAUACGACCUACGGGUGAAAGCAGGGGAUCUUCGGACCUUGCGCGGUUGAAUGAGCCGAUGUCGGAUUAGCUAGUUGGCGGGGUAAAGGCCCACCAUGGCGACGAUCCGUAGCUGGUCUGAGAGGAUGAUCAGGCACACUGGAACUGAGACACGGUCCACACUCCUACGGGAGGCAGCAGUGGGGAAUAUUGGACAAGGGGCGCAAGCCUGAUCCAGCCAUACCGCGUGGGGGAAGAAGGCCUUCGGGUUGUAAAGCCCUUUUGUUGGGAAAGAAAAGCAGCAGGUUAAUACCCCGCUGUUCUGACGGUACCCAAAGAAUAAGCACCGGCUAACUUCGUG
rnacentral:rRNA from 1 species